AUUGAGUAUCAUAUCAGAUGUCACGACAUUGAAACAUUUGGAAAUAAUCAUACUAAAUUGUUGGAAUCAUCCGGUUAUAUUUGAUGUAUAUGAUUUCUUCGAUUUGGACUACAAACUUCUUCAGUCGAUUGUAGCAUCCGUGGUGACAUACGUAGUCGUUUUGGUUCAGAUACAGUUGGUUAUCAUGGACAUGUAGUCUUAACAGUAGUUAAUCUCACACAGCUAACUACAAUAAGUUCUUAUAUUAUCUUAUAGUCAAAUAUUAAAAUAAUAAUAAUAUGUAAUCACAUUCAUUUUUGUAAUCAGCUAUAGGUUGUAUACGUACGAGUUACGAAAAGAGUUGUCUGCAAUGUAGUAUUGUGGGUGAUCAAAAAUUAUAAAUUUAAUUCGUUUUUAAAAUAUAAAACGUAGGAAU